rnacentral:tRNA from 1 species
ACUUUCUUAGUAUUAAUUAGUACAGCUGACUUCCAAUCAACUAGACUUGGUAGAACCCAAGAGAAAGUA